rnacentral:rRNA from 1 species
UACAGAGGUCCCAAGCGUUGUUCGGAUUCACUGGGCGUAAAGGGUGCGUAGGCGGUCAGGUAAGUCUGAUGUGAAAUCUCACAGCUUAACUGUGAAACUGCAUUGGAUACUAUUCGGCUAGAGAGUUGGAGGGGGGACUGGAAUUCUUGGUGUAGCAGUGAAAUGCGUAGAUAUCAAGAGGAACACCAGUGGCGAAGGCGAGUCCCUGGACAACUUCUGACGCUGAGGCACGAAAGCUAGGGGAGCAAACAGG